UUUUUUUGGUUAAGGAGGGGGAGAAUUGUCAGGUGUGACUAAUUUCUUUCUUUGACAGAUAUGCCUCAGUUCUUUUGCUAGUUAAUCUAUUAGCAUUCUUGAUUCCUUUAUUGCAGGCACAACUUUAGGAGCUACAGUUUGACUUGAUAUGCAAAUUAACCUCUAUAGAAACUGUGUGUUGGCUUGAGCGAUUAUGAAUGGAAGUGUGUGAGCUGAUGUGUGGAGUAAGAGAUAGUGUGAAGGGUUGCCUUUCUUGUAUAGCUUGGGCAAGCACUGUGCCUAUUGACUUUUGGAGAGAGAGGACCUGUGUUUUCCUUUUUGGCCUAUUUUCACAAGUCAAGUUGUAGCUCUUAUUACUGAGGAUAUUGUCUCGACUUCGGCCACGCCCUUUGAGUCUUGGCUUGACACCGGAGACGCCUUUGUGAGGCCCCUUUCUUUGUGGCAGCAACAUUAGAAAUUGUAAAUUGACCGCCUGCUACCUCAGUGAAACGGCAGGGGACUUGAGCUCCUUCUUUGUGGAUGUACUUAGUGAGACUUGGUGACAGUUGCUAAGGCAUGGGCCAGCGCUCCAAACCUGAAAGUCAACUGGGCGAUCUUCAAGACCGCGUUCUCGUGUAUAUUUUGGCCGAACCCUACUGAUUCUUCAGUCAACAGUCCUCAACGCCUACCCUAGGUUUGAUGAAGUCAUAUUAGGUGACGUAUGCUUGUGAUUGUUUUCAUCAACAUCUUUAUAGACAAACCGUUUGUUUCUGAACUUACACUUCCCAAGUUUCAACCAUAUGUUCAUGAACGCACCUUUUGGGACAUCGCAACUGAAUUUAACUGACACUCAUGAAUACAAUUGACUUUGUCUUCUAAAUGGGGUAUAUUGGCCAAUAUGCAUGUAGGCAUUAGUAAUCUUUGGCAUUUUUAUACUGUGAUACUUGAUUAAUUUGAAAUCUGUUUUUUUGAGUAAGUUGAUGCACUUAUUAAGGUGAUAUUUAUUAGUUGAACAAUUUGAUCGAUUGGAAGUUUGUAUAAUUUGAUAUUGAAUUGAUUUGAUUAUUCGGUGUGCAACCAAUUUGAGAUUGUUUGGUGUUGAUUAACUGGAUAAGUGUUAAACGUGAUGAGAUUCCACAAGUCCUUGAUUAAAAAGGGAAGUUAAAAGUA